CCCCCGUGGUUUUAGUUUGUACCCCGGGAACUGGGGAUAAUACCCCAUAGACUAUAGAUGCUGGAAUGCUUUGUAGUUGAAAGGUCCGCCGCCAUAGGAUGGGUCUGCGGCCGAUUAGGUUGUUGUUGGGGUAACGGCCCAACAAGCCUGUAAUCGGUACGGGUUGUGGGAGCAAGAGCCCGGAGAUGGAUUCUGAGACACGAAUCCAGGCCCUACGGGGCGCAGCAGGCGCGAAAACUUUACAAUGCGGGAAACCGUGAUAAGGGAACUCCGAGUGCCCGUAAAAUCGGGCUGUCCAUCUGUUUAAAUAACAGGUGAAGAAAGGGCCGGGCAAGACCGGUGCCAGCCGCCGCGGUAAUACCGGCGGCUCGAGUGGUGGCCACUAUUACUGGGCUUAAAGCGUUCGUAGCUGGUCUGUUAAGUCUCUGGGGAAAUCUACUGGCUUAACCAAUAGGCGUCUCAGGGAUACUGGCAGACUAGGGACCGGGAGAGGUGAGAGGUACUCCAGGGGUAGGAGUGAAAUCCUGUAAUCCUUGGGGGACCACCUGUGGCGAAGGCGUCUCACCAGAACGGCUCCGACAGUGAGGGACGAAAGCUGGGGGAGCAAACCGGAUUAGAUACCCGGGUAGUCCCAGCCGUAAACGAUGCGCGUUAGGUGUAUCGGUGACCACGAGUCACCGAGGUGCCGAAGAGAAAUCGUGAAACGUGCCGCCUGGGAAGUACGGUCGCAAGGCUGAAACUUAAAGGAAUUGGCGGGGGAGCAC
rnacentral:rRNA from 1 species